rnacentral:lncRNA from 10 species
CCAUUUCAGUUAUGGAGGCUUGUGUUGAUGUGGAGGUGCAGUGAUGUGGAAGUGGCCUGAGAUGCUGAGCUCACAGGACACUCCCUUCAGAUGCAUCCUCCAAACUGGAAAGAGUUAAUUUCCUAAACCUUCAACUGGUUGGCUUAGGAUUGGGCUCAGGGGAAGGGAACCCAGAAACUCAACAUGCCGGCAAAAGGGCCAUCAAAUUCCAAACAGGCAACCAGAGCCUCUGAAGAUGGCCCCUUCUUCUGGGGAUCCUCACAUAGGCCUCGGAGGAAGCUCUGACUGCCGUUUCCCCAAAACAGCGCCCCCGUCUGCAGAAAGUGGUUAAGAUUGGUCUUAGUCCUUAUCCUUAAUCUAACGGGAGUUAGAUAUACUUCUUUAGACGGGGGAAUGAGACAGCCAGGUGGGAGGGGGUCCCUGGAGAAACUCCAACCAGCCUGUCUACUGAGGUGGAGCCUGGGAAGUUUGAGCCCUUUGCAGUAGGGAGGAGCUGGCCUUGCCUCUUCCUGUGUGGAACCUGGGAUUCGGACGUCGGGCGGGAAGUGCUCUAGCAGGGGACUCUGGACUUGCGGAGGACCCCUGUUCCCCCCCUCAUUUUUCCCUGUUUCACCCAAUAAAACCCUGCUUUACUCACCCUUUAAACCAUCUGCGAACCUAAAUUUUUGUUGUCGCGGGAUGGACAAGAACGCUGUCUUUAGCUAAACUAAGGAAAAGACCUGUAACACCUUA